AGGCAUGGGGAAACUGCAAACUGACCACGGGAGCUUUCAGGGUAACAGCACAGUGCUCACCACAAACACACUGGCCUCAUGCAUCAGGGGCUUUACAACACAAUACAAUUUGCUCUAUUUUUUGUUGAACUGUUAAUAUUACAAAACAAAUCAUUAACCUGCAGGCUCCAUUCAAGGACUCCGUGUUCAGUUUGGUACCAGUUGUGUAAUACUGACAGUUUGUUUUAUUUCUCUUUCACAAUGUAGCAGUAUUUGUGUUUAAUAUUAGCUAUAAAUAAAAUGAGGAAGAACAAGUUAGAAGAGGAAAUUGCACAGUAUAGGAUUUGUUUUGUACAUAACUGGUAUGGAUGUAGAACAGGAAGCGUGACACUGAAUUGCCUUGAUGACAGAAAGGCGUGUCAUUAAACAGCAGUCAGUUUGGACCUUUUGUUUUUUGUCCCUCUUGGCUAUAAGAGCCAGUGCAGGAAACACUCUUGAGCAGGUUUAGACUCGCCGGUGUUCUUGAAGUCCAAUACAACACGUCUUUUCAUUUGAAUUAUUGACAUUUGCUUUAAGUUGCUGGCUUUGCAGCUGCACAUUAAAAAGAUGCUUUGUCCAGAAUGUUCCCAAGUUUCAUCCCGGCUGGAUAAGCGGGUUUCCAGAUGGAUGCCACUCUGCCACACUCCACUACAUGUUGGUGCUCCUUGCUGCUGGGUGUGUGAAGUCUGAGUGCUGUGCCAAUGCAAAGGUGAUCAUGCUGGGCUGCAGGCACUGGAGCAUGUGAGUGCCAAGCAGAGGACAGCUGCCAAAAUCAACACAAGGAAUAGGAAACAAUGGCAUGGAUUACACAGCUCUGAUGAAUGAGAUGCAGAAAAGGAGGUCUGGCUUAUUUGAUGCAAGAUUAGUGAUUUGUCUUUUUAUACCUAACAUUUAAAAAAGAAAUGCAAAGAGGAAGUAGCUUCAGUCUCAUUUUUGUUCUGUCCCUUUACCUUGUAUCAUGUUUUUCACUGCAUUUAAUAAUUUAAGUGCAAAUAAAUGUCCACUAUUCUUUCAGA